rnacentral:hammerhead_ribozyme from 1 species
AUCCACCUGAGGAGUCCCAAGUAGGACGAAACAUGCGUCCUGGAU